UCUGCCUCCAGCUCUGUGAUGUAAAAUCCAUCGGCAGGGCAAUUCUGUCCUGUCUUCCCUACUUGCUGCCUAUGCAGAGCCUGCAGUGGUGCCAGGAAUGCAAGGACACGUACAUGAUGCAUAUUAAAGCAGUCCAUCCGGAGCACACAAUUUUCCAUCCCAAGGAAGCAUGAGCAAAGCACUAUAGUUUGGAUGUUUGUCUCCACUGGAACUGAGGAUGGAAUUUAAUUGCCAUUGUGGCAGUAUUAAGAAAUGGGUCUUUUGUUCUUCUGCUUCCUGCCCCAUGAAGACGAAGUGCAGCUGCCCUCCAGAGGCACAGCACCUGCGGUCCCGUGUGAUGUCAGAGUUGCCAGCCCUGCCUGGAUCUUGAACUCCCAGCCUCCACACCUAUACCCAAAAGUGGAAUUGCUGGAUAUGGUAAGAUUGCAUUUAACUUUUUAGGAAAUGGGCAAUCUGUUUUCCAAAGUAGCUGUACCAUUUACAUCCACUUAUAAAAUUCCACAUAUAGUAUUUUUGUUCACAUACAGUUUAAAAUUUUUCUAAUUUUAUUUGUGAAUUCUUCUUUCAUCAAUGUGCAAUUUAUAAGUUUUCUUACAUUUCCAAAUAAACAUUUGGGUAUUUCCA